AUGAAUUAUCUUCUUUUAUUUUUAUCUUUUAUAUUGCUAACUGGAAUAUAUUGAUGGAAUGAUUGUCUGAUUCAGUUAGCAAUUAACAUUCUAUAUAGAGUGAUAACAACACAGAGUACAUUAGAAAGUGAGACGUUUCUUCUUGAAGAUGUGAAGGGUGUGUGAAGGAAAGUUUCAACAUCUAUAUUAUUAGGUAUCUAUCCAACAGCAAGAAAAGGGUAAAUUUUAAUGCAGUAAAAGGGCAACCAAUGAGAAAAUACAAAGUAUUAAAGGGACACUACGGACACCCACACAUGUAGAAUACAAUUAGUUAUGCUGGAUACACUUUUACACACUUUCUUUCGUUUUUUGGGGUUUUUUUUUGUAAAUAAUUUGUUUUGGUCCAUAAACAAAACUUAAAGACCUCCUAACAAACUUAAGUCUUUCCCUUUUUUUGCUCCCAAAAUACUGCUAUAUGUGAAGCCAUGACUUUCUAUUGUUUUUUUCCCAGCAAAUGUAAAACAUCAAAUGCAAAUAUAUAUUUUUAAGUGGUCUGGGUGCAGUGGCCCUCUUCUUUUAAUCUUGAAAUAUCAGUUUUUAGAAUGUCUGUCAGUCAGUCUGUAUAUGUGUCUUUCUAUCAUAAUAGUAGCUAGAAAACAAAUAGGGGAGGGGAAAAUGUUUGGGGCAGGGGAACUCCAACACAAAUUUAUUAACCACUGGUAAAUGUAGGAAAUCCAGGGCUCUAUGUUUACAAAAGCAUGUGUAAUGUGGUCUAGCACUCAUAUAACAUGGCUUGUUUAGUGUGGCUUUUUCCCCACUUUAUAGGAUACAAAUUAUGGAUAAUUUUUCCAGUUAGCUAUAUACCACACUUUCUAGUCGCCAUGGUAAUUUUAGAGAGAAGUUUAAUUUUAUUUCUCUCUAAUAAAGGGAUAACAAAAAUAUCAGGUCAAUGAGAAUAAAUUUGUGAAACACCCAUGUGACCAUAGAGGUGAGAUUUUGGGACAUUGCAACUGCUACUACUGCACACGAGACAGGGUGCCAGAAUGACUGCAUAAGCGCCAACCAGGUCUGUAAUAGUCCAAGUAGACGUGUGGACUGCAGCGAUCUUAAAUACCACCUGCUCAACAUGGGAAUACAGGUGGAUAAUGAGGUUCUAUCCAGAGUACAAUAUAGAUGUUUGCAGAAUGUUUAUGUAUUUUCGUUAGGAAUGUUUCAUGGAAUUAUGCUUACAAAACUUUUUUUUCUAAUUGUCUAAGGAGAACAUACAUCUUGCCAGUCCUACUAUUCCAUCUAGCCAACAUCCAGUGUUUUAGCAACGGGCUUUAUAUUUCUUUAUGUUGCAUUAUGUUUUAUUAAUGAGGCACAUUUUACUUGUGAUUAUGUGUCAAUAAAUAUUUUAUGUUUUAAGUGUUUAUAUAGACUGCAUUACUGGGUUUCUCUCUUCCUGUCCACACAUUACUGAUGUGCAAAAUAAGUCAUUGAGGAAUUCUAAUGAACCUCUCCCAAAGGUUUGACUAAAACAUGUACUAUAUGAGAGCUAAACUAGUUCUGAAUUUCCAAAAUGUAUAUAUAAACAUAUACUACGAGUGUCCUAUUUUUUUCCUUUGUUCAAUCUGUUUCUACAUUUGUAUUUAAUUUGUAUGCAUUGUAUAACUGGUUGAUUCAUUUUAAUGACUUUUUAUAUUUAGUAUUGAUUUUGUCAUAAAUUUAUUUAACGGUUCUGGUUAUAUAGAAGCUAUUUGGCAUUGCCACUAAUACAUUAACAGUAUUAUACAGACACCAACUACAUCAAGUACAUAAAUUCUAAAAAAUUAAAAAAUAAAAGUGUAGGUACACUGGAAACAGAGAUGGGCUUGUUAGUUAAUGAAGACCAGGAAAAGGCAGACAUUUUAAAUAACUAUUUUCUUCAGUAUAUAUUAAUGAGGAUCCUAUGGCAAGAGAUAUGCAAAUGUUUGCUGCAAAAAACUUGCAGAUAACUUGUGAUUGGAUGACCCGAGACAAGGUGCUACAGCAGUUAAAGAAAAUUAAUGUAAAUAAAGCUCCGGGGCCUGACGGUAUUGACCCACGAGUACUUAAGGAGCUAAGUAAGGAAAUAAGUGAAACUCUGUAUUUAAUCUUUCAAGAUUCUUUUGUUUCGGGUAUUGUACUGGAGGAUUGGAGGAAGGCAGAUGUCGUUCCUAUAUUUAAAAAGGGUUCAAAAUCCUUGUCUGGAAAUUAUAGGCCUGUCAGCUUAACUUCUGUGACUGGGAAAAUAUUUGAAAGGCUAUUAAGGGAUAAUAUUCAGGAAUUCAAUGGAAAGAACUUUGUUAUUAGCAAUAAUCAGCAUGGUUUUAUGAAACAUGGGUGUAACGGAGCUCCCUGUACCUCUGGCUGGGUACCUCCGCCAAGGACUGCUUCCUAGCUGGAACAGGGGACAAACCGCAGAAAUUCUGCCCACAGUCGCCUUGGCUUGACUAGGGCCCUGACACCGCUCCUUCCUGGAGCAUAAUGGAGAAUUAGCUCUAGUCCUUACAAGUACUUUCCCCUUUGAAACCCCUGCAAGCUGGAACAGCAGACACAGGAGUAAAUCUUCUUUCCCUCCAAUAAGUUUUGGAGUGUAAGCUGGAAUAGAUUUUAAUGGAGGCACACUGGCCUUUUAUGCAAGUUUCCCAACAAGGGCGACACCCAGGUGGACGUCGUUGGGCACAGAGACACAAAGUGAACAAACCAAUAAAAACAGAGUCAUACAGUAAGACACUCCCAUACACAAACAAUAGAAUCCCUCCUCUGUGAUUGGGAGAUAAUUGAAUCAGGAACUGUACUAAUCUAACCUAAUUAUCUCCAAGCACAGAAAAAACAUACAAUUUUAUGAAACCCCAAAUCUGGGUGAACAACAUAUCCAAAAAUCACCCAGAUUGGUUCAGGGGUUCAGGAAUUUCCUGGAAGUCAUAGUUUUGACCGACCGCGAGCAUGGGCCCAUGCCCAAAACAGUUCCAGGGAAAUUAGUGCUAACAGUCGGUCAAGUUCGGUAGUCUUUUACAGGUUUCGCUAUAGGGCCCAUAGUCUGUAGGCAGGAGGCUGGCAAUCAGGCUCCUCCAGGAGCUCGUGGCAAACUCACUUGGAGAGGGGAGUUUGUCACAAUAGGUCAUGUCAAACUAACCUAAUUGCAUUCUACAAAGAGGUAAGUAGAAGUAUAGAUCAAGGUGUUGCAGUGGACGUGAUCUACUUGGAUUUUGACCAAAGAAAUUGGUCUAGAUGAAUAUUCUUGUUUUUGGGUAGAUUAUUGGCUUAAGGAUAGAGUACAAUGAGUUGUCAUUAAUGGUAAAUUUUCAAGCUGGACAAAAGUGGUAAGUGGUGUCCCUCAGUGUUCUGUUUUGGGACCGCUUCUAUUUAACAUAUUCAUAAAUUAUCUUGAAAUAGGCAUUGAAAGCCAUGUUUUAGUGUUUGCAGAUGACACAAAACUUUGUAAAGUAAUAAAAUGUGAGCAGGAUAUUGCUUUGCUGCAGAGAGAUUUAGAUAGAUUGGGGGACUGGGCACUAAAAUCGCAGAUGCAAUUUAAUGUACAGAAAUGCAAAGUUAUGAACUUCGGGCUUAAGAAUGCACAAGCAACUUACACCCUAAAUGGUAGUGAAUUAGGGUUACCACACACAAGAAGGAUUUGGGAAUUGUUAUAGACAACAAAUUAGGCAGCAAUAUGUAAUGUCAAUCUGCAGUUGCUAAGGCCAGUAUGGUUUUGUCAUGUAUAAAUAGGGGCAUAUAUUCUCGGGAUGAAAAUAUAAUGUUGCCUCUUUAUAAAUCGCUGGUAAGACCACACCUUGAAUAUGCUGUGCAAUUUUGGGCACCUGUUCUAAAGAAGGAUAUCAUGGCACUAGAAAAAGUGCAGAGACAAGCUACAAAAUUGAUAAAAGGAAUGGAGCAUUUUAGUUAUGAAGAAAGGUUAAAAAAUGUAAAGCUCUUUAGUUUGGAAAAAUGGUGCCUCAGAGGGGAUAUGAUAACAUUAUACAAAUAUAUUCAGGGCCAGCACAAACCAUUAUCUGGAAAUCUAUUCAUAAAUAGGGCUAAACAUAGGACACGAGGUCACACAUUUAGGCUUGAAGAAAGGAGAUUUCAUCUAAGGCAAAGGAAAUAUUUUUUUUUUUUUUUACAGUAAGAACUAUAAGGAUGGGGCGUGUCUUGGCCACCAUCUCGAAUGGCCACCAUCUAAAGGAGCUCCUGGGACAUUGGGACAAUAAUGUUCCAAAAGUGAAAUUUCUGAUUGUAUUUGCCUCAACUGAAGCAUUGAUGUCCUUUUAACAAUAUCCAGCCAGCAUGCAGAAACAAAUAAGGAGUGAAAAAAGUGCUUUCAACGCAAAGAAAAUUGAAGGCGGUGCUGCAGGGGUGAGUGGGGGCCUUUCAGCUCAGUCCCCUUCAUCAACACCAGGAUCGUGGUUUAUAUCACAGCUAAAACCAUCAUUGGGGCCAGCAGGGAAGCCUCUCCCUCCCUCCCAUCAGACCUCUCACACUCGCGUAAACGCCGGUGUGAUCGCGACCCGCUCGCGGUGGAACCACGGUCACACUGGCUGCGAGCCCAGAAGGAGACUCCACAAGCUCCAAGCACCUGACAAGCUCGGAGCGUUAUGAAACAUUACCCGCGAGCGGCAAGGGUUGGGAAAUAACAGCUGCGAGUGGCUGUCAGCUUAGACAAAGCCGCGAGAGGCUCAAUGUUAAAGCAGCCCAGUCCCUAGUGUAUAAGGAUGACCGGGCUGAGGGGGCAGAGGCAGGUGGCAUGAGAUCCAGGUCCCCAUCAGUGCCCUCGGCUUCACAACCGUCGCUACUGGUGGGAGGGGUCCCUACAUCAGCUUCCACCUGCCUUAAAGGGGCACAACAUAGCCCUGAAGAAUUUAAUGUGGAAAUGGGAGAAGAGGAGACCAGUAUUAAUCCUGGUUCACCAUUGCCACAGAGGGUGAAACCAGAUGCCACUACUAAGAUGGCUGCUAUCAGUGAUACUUCUGCUGCCACAACUAAGAUGGCCACUGCCACCUCCAAGAUGGCCACCACAACAAUUAAAGCUGCCAGAUACAACUUAAACAUGCCACCUGAAUUAGCUGCAGACUUGCCACCAUCGGCUGGCAUGUUGAUUGACCUUAUACAAGGUUUAAGAGCAGAUUUAAAAAACGAUUUUAAAAAGGAUUUCAAAGCAAUUUAUGGUAGCAUGGAUGAUAUUUUCUCUUGGAGUGUAGGUGCUCAGUCUCUCAUAUUGUUUUUUUUUUGUUAUUUCUUAUAUCUACAAUACUCAUGGUAGAGUAUGGUGCUGAAAUUUUACCCUUUAAUGUGAGGGGCCUGAACUCUGCACACAAGAGAAGAUUAUUGUUUAAAGAUGUUAAGAAAUGCAAGUCUGAUGUUGUAUGUUUACAAGAGAUGCACCUUAAGGCAGAUAAAGAAACCAAGUUAAUGACAAAGCUCUUCCCAACCCAAUUUCACACUGUGUAUAAAACAAAGUCUAGAGGAGCAUCGAUUUUUUUUAAUAGGAAUGUGGCCUGUUCAAGAGAUAAAGUGGUAACAGGCAAUGAUGAGAGAUAUGUGUUAUGGAUAGGUAGACUUAAUAAUAUAGAAUACACCAUAUGUAAUGUAUACUUCCCGAAUACCGGUCAGUUAAAUUUUUUCAAAAAUAUAAUGGAUUUAGUGACUGAGAAUGCAUGCGGACACUUGAUAAUAUGUGGUGACACAAAUUUUGUUAUGGACGACGAGCUGGACAAUGCUAGGGAAGAUCCCACUCAGUCUCAGAGGAGGGAUAGUGACAGAUUGGCUGAAAAAUGUUCUAGAUAUAUGAUUUAAUGUGGUUUGUAUGAUACGUGGAGACUUACGCAUGAUGGAGAGAGAGACUUUACUUACUAUUCUGUUUCAAAAUAUAUGUACUGACGUAUAGACAGGUUUAUGGUUCAGAGUGCUCUUAUCUCGCGCAUCCUAAGUUCUGACAUUCUGGAUAUCAACUGGUCAGACCACGCUCCUAUUGUAAUGCAUUUAGACAAGAUUAUAUCCUCUGCCCCGAACCGAACAUGGAAAUUAGGGGAUUAUUAAACUAAACGAGGGGGAAAAUAGGAAAUUGGCAGAAGGGGCUUUGAAAGACUAUUUUUUUUACAAUGUUUUAUCUGAAGUUUCAGGUGAAGUAGCUUGGAAUGCACACAAGGCUGUGUUACGAGGCCAUUUCAUUUCUAGGGCGUCUCACCUGAAAAGAGUUAAUAAUAAAGACCUGAAAACUUUAGAACAAGAAUUAUAUAAUCUAAAUCAGGCAAACAAAUCUGGCCUAUCUACUUCCCUAUCAGAGAUGAUAGGGGACGCUAAGUCAAAAAUCAACAAAAUUAAUUUGGAACGUACCUUUCUAAUGGUGAGACGCCUUAGGAAAAUAUUUUAUUUAAAGGGCAAUAAGGCCUCAACUCUUCUGGCGUCCAAACUCUGGCAUGUGAAUGCUCAAUCUAAAAUAGCCUUUUUGAUUAAUGAUCAGGGUGAAAAAGUUUUCCACCCAACAAAAAUUAGUAAUCUAUUCGCUGAAUACUAUAGCAAACUAUAUAAUCUUUAGAUUAAAUUCGGAAAUAUCCCAGCCUACAGAAGACAAAAUUGACCAGUUCCUGAAUAAGGUUACACUACCUCGGAUACCUGCAGACAAAUUGGAGAGUCUAGAACGUGAUAUUUCAGCGGAAGAGAUAUCAGGGGCGAUGAAAUCUAUGCCAUCAUGAAAGACCCCCGGCUCCUCAUGGAUCUACCCUCUUAUACUAUAAAACGUUUGAAAAGUUUUUAGUAUCCCAUUUGACAAAACUAUUUAAGACCGGGGGAAGAUGCCAGGGGAGUCCUUGUGUGCACAGAUAGUUGCCUUACCAAAACUGGGUAAAACUCCAGACAAAUGUCCUAAUUUCAGACCUAUUUCUCUUAUCAAUAAUGAUACGAAAAUAUACUCCGAGGUGUUAGCAGACAGAUUAGCUAAACUAAUUCCAUUGAUUAUCAAUAAAGACCAAGUAGGUUUUGUACAAGGCAGACAAGCAGCAGACGAUACGAGGAGGUUUAUCAAUCUGAUCCAACAUAUUAACUCACUCAAGACACCUUCUCUGCUUCUAUCGUUAGACGCUGAGAAGGCAUUCGAUAGAAUCCACUGGGGAUACUUGUGGAAACACUGAGCAAAUUUAAUGUCCCUUUAUCUUUUUUAUAAAAGCGAUUGCAGCAUUGUAUAAUGAACCCACAGUCAUGUCAACGCUUCUGGCUUCAGGUACGAGACCUUCUCUCUGUCUAACGGAACCAGACAGGGGUGCCCUUUAUCCCCACUUUUAUUUGUCCUUGCUAUCGAAACCUUGGCCGAACUUAUCAGACUUCACACAGAAAUAGAAGGUAUAAGGUUGGGGGAAUCAAUACACAAGAUAGGACUGUUUGCAGAUGAUAUUAUCUUAGCAAUCAGGAACCCGAAAGAAUCCUUAAGGCACUUGAAAGAUAUAUUAUAUCAGUUUGGAGAGAUAUCAUAUUACAAACUCAACGAAGCUAAAACACAGGCCCUUCCAUUUCACAUCAACCACUUAGACCUCAUGACUCUAAGGAGGUUAUAUUUAUAUGAUUGGAGAAACGACUUUAUAAACUAUCUAGGUAUAAGCCUAUGCAAAAAUUUAGCAAAAAUGCAUACUUACAAUUUGAGCAAGGAGAUAGAGAGGUGGUGCGGGAUGGAGCUCUCAUGGCUAGGUAGGAUUGCGUCUAUUAAGAUGACAGUACUGCCAAAUUUUUUUUACUAUUUUAGGACCAUACCCCUGUCUAUUCCAUUAUCGUUCUUUUCAAAAAUUAAUUCAGCUAUUUUAAAGUUUAUCUGGAACAAAAAAACAAGUAGAAUUAAGCAAACUACCUUGCAACAUAGCAAAUAUAAUGGGGGUAUCGGAGUACCGGAUAUCUGCAAAUAUUAUUUUGCUACCAAUGCUGCAGUAGCAGUCACUUUCAACAGCAAUAGUAACAAAACGAGGUGGUUAGAAAUGGAGGAGAUCAAGGCUUACCC
rnacentral:lncRNA from 1 species